rnacentral:sRNA from 1 species
GCUUGGUGACAUACCUGUAGUCCAAGCUACUUGGGAGGCUGAGGCAGGAGGGUCACUUCAGUCCAGGAAUUUGAGAACAGCCUGUGCAACACAUUGAGACUCUGUCUCAA